AACCUCCGCAAUGUGAGAAAUCGCGACGGGGGAUCCCAAGUGCCAUUCUUAACGGGAUGGCUUUUCAUUAGUGUAAAGAGCUUUUGGAAUAAGAGCUGGGCAAGACCGGUGCCAGCCGCCGCGGUAACACCGGCAGCUCUAGUGGUAACAAUUUUUAUUGGGCCUAAAGCGUCCGUAGCCGGUUUAAUAAGUCUCUGGUGAAAUCCUGUAGCUUAACUGUGGGAAUUGCUGGAGAUACUAUUAGACUUGAGACCGGGAGAGGUUAGAGGUACUCCCAGGGUAGAGGUGAAAUUCUGUAAUCCUGGGAGGACCGCCUGUUGCGAAGGCGUCUAACUGGAACGGUUCUGACGGUGAGGGACGAAAGUUAGGGGCGCGAACCGGAUUAGAUACCCGGGUAGUCCUAACUGUAAACGAUGCGGACUUGGUGUUGGGGUAGCUUUGAGCUGCUCAGUGCCGAAGGAAGCUGUUAAGUCCGCCGCCUGGGAAGUACGGUCGCAAGACUGAAACUUAAAGGAAGU
rnacentral:rRNA from 1 species